UACGGGGGGGAGCAAGCGUUGUUCGGAUUUACUGGGCGUAAAGGGCGCGUAGGCGGCGUGACAAGUCACUUGUGAAAUCUCCGGGCUUAACUCGGAACGGUCAAGUGGUACUGUCGUGCUAGAGUACAGAAGGGGCAACUGGAAUUCUCGGUGUAGCGGUGAAAUGCGUAGAUAUCGAGAGGAACACCGGUGGCGAAGGCGGGUCUCUGGGCCACUACUGACGCUGAGAAGCGAAAGCAUGGGGAGCGAACAGG
rnacentral:rRNA from 1 species